GACGAACGCUGGCGGCGUGCCUAAUACAUGCAAGUCGAGCGAAUCAAUAGGAGCUUGCUCCUGUUGAUUAGCGGCGGACGGGUGAGUAACACGUGGGCAACCUGCCUGUAAGACUGGGAUAACACCGGGAAACCGGUGCUAAUACCGGAUGAUCCUUUUCCUCUCAUGAGGGAAAGCUGAAAGUCGGUUUGGGCUGACAUUUACAGCUGGGCCCGCGGCGCAUUAGCUAGGUGGUGAGGUAACGGCUCACCAAGGCGACGAUGCGUAGCCGACCGGAGAGGGUGAUCGGCCACACUGGGACUGAGACACGGCCCAGACUCCUACGGGAGGCAGCAGUAGGGAAUCUUCCACAAUGGACGAAAGUCUGAUGGAGCAACGCCGCGUGAGCGAUGAAGGCCUUCGGGUCGUAAAGCUCUGUUGUUAGGGAAGAACAAGUACCGGAGUAACUGCCGGUACCUUGACGGUACCUAACCAGAAAGCCACGGCUAACUACGUGCCAGCAGCCGCGGUAA
rnacentral:rRNA from 1 species